UAGAAGCAGCCAUCCUUUAAAGAAAGCGUAAUAGCUCACUGGUCGAGGUUUCUAGCGCCUAAAAUGUAACGGGGCUAAAGUUCAGCACCGAAGCUGUGAGUUUUCUAUUUUAAUAGAAAGCGGUAGGAGAGCGUUGUCAGUGCACUGAAGCUAAAAUGUGAGUUUUGGUGGAGCGCUGAGAAGUGAGAAUGCAGGCAUGAGUAGCGACAAUCGUGGUGAGAAUCCACGACACCGGAAGCCCAAGGUUUCCUACGCAAUGUUGAUCAUCGUAGGGUUAGUCGGGCCUAAGUGAAAGCGUAUAGCGAACACGAUGGAUAUCGGGUCAAAAUUCCCGAACCAUUUGUAUUGUGUUUUAACGCAAAGGGGGGACGCAAGAAGGUAAGUAGAGCAUACCUAAUGGACAUGGUGUGUUUGCUUUUGUAGAUGAUGACCAGAUAGGUAAAUCCGUCUGGUAUUUUAGUUGAGGAAAGCAAAAACUCGAGAGCUUAGCUCAAAGGAAUUCUGCCGACCCUAGGUUGCCAAGAAAAUCCUCGUUGUAAAUAAUAUAAAUGACCGUACCGCAAACCGACACAGGUAGGCAGGGAUAAACGUCCCAAGGUGAACGAAAGAACCUUCGUUAAGGAACUCGACAGAUUGACCCCGUAACUUAGGGAGAAGGGGUGCCUAUUAUUUAAUACUGAUUUACUUAGUAAAGGGUAAUAGGCCGCAGUGAAUCGGUCCAAGCGACUGUUUAUCAAAAACAUAGGUCUAUGCUAAACCGAAAGGUGAUGUAUAUGGGCUGACGCCUGCCCAGUGCCGGAAGGUUAAGAGGAGAGGUUAGGAGUAAUCCAAAGCUUUGAAUUGAAGCCCCGGUGAACGGCGGCCGUAACUAUAACGGUCCUAAGGUAGCGAAAUCCCUUGUCAGGUAAGUUCUGACCCGCACGAAUGGCGUAACGACUUGGACAUUGUCUCAACGAAGGACUCGGUGAAAUUGCAGGACCAGUGAAGAUGCUGGUUACCUACGACAGGACAAAAAGACCCCGUGGAGCUUUACUGCAACUUGGCAGUGAUUUAGGCUUAUAAACGUGUAGGAUAGGCGGGAGACUUUGAAACUUUAGCGCUAGUUAGAGUGGAGUCGACCUUGAAAUACCGCCCUUUUAUAAUCUUGGAUCUAACUUUAUUUAAUUAUGAAGGACCCUGCCUGGUGGGCAGUUUGACUGGGGCGGUCGCCUCCCAAACAAUAACGGAGGCGCCCAAAGGUUCCCUCAAGGUGGAUUGGAAAUCACCUUUCGAGUGUAUUGGCAUAAGGGAGCUUGACUGCGAGACCUACAAGUCGAGCAGGGACGAAAGUC
rnacentral:rRNA from 1 species